UGCAAUCCAUAGAGAGCAUUGUGUAUUUGUCAUUGUGGUCCAACUUACAGUUUCACAACCUAACCAGAAUGCAGAACUCUGACUUAAGUUAAUGUAUCUAUAAUUUUUGAUCCCUUAGUUUGUAGUCUGUGCAGUUUGUGGAUUGUUGUUGUUCCUGCAGCCUGUGAUCCUGUUUCCAUUUUGCAUGCAAGUCGAGAGGCGUUUGGUUUUGGAUAUAGCUCCGGCAUCACCAUUAUCUGAGUUUUUGUCUCCUGGGAACGUAAUAGUGUCAUUGGAUGUAGUGUGGAUCCAUGACCUACAAGAUUAGGUGGAGAUGACUGCUCUACACAUCUUUGAUUCUAUUUAGCGGCACUUAGUUUUUAUUACAGCAAAAUCAGGGUUUUCAUAUUGAAGUACGUAUUCGUUGGGGCCAAAGUAAGAAGGUAGUCUUUCUUCUUCUCGUGUAGAGCAAAGAUGCCAUCAAUGGCGCAAACCCCAAACCCCAGCGCCAACGGCAACCUCUCCUUUAACAACAACAACAACAACAAACCCAACUUCUGUGCCAGGGGUCGAAAGAUUUUAGAGAAGCGGAAGUCUCUUCCCAUUGCCUCAG